rnacentral:rRNA from 1 species
CACGGAGUUAGCCGAUCCUUAUUCUUCCAGUACAUUCAGCUUCCUACACGUAGAAAGGUUUAUUCCUGGACAAAAGCAGUUUACAACCCAUAGGGCAGUCAUCCUGCACGCGGCAUGGCUGGUUCAGGCUUCCGCCCAUUGACCAAUAUUCCUUACUGCUGCCUCCCGUAGGAGUCUGGUCCGUGUCUCAGUACCAGUGUGGGGGAUUCUCCUCUCAGAGCCCCUAGACAUCGUCGCCUUGGUAAGCCGUUACCCUACCAACUAGCUAAUGUCACGCGAGCCCAUCUCCAUCCUAUAAAUAUUUAAUCAACUGAACAUGCGAACUGUUGAUAUUAUGCGGUGUUAAUCUCUCUUUCGAGAGGCUAUCCCCCUGAUAGAGGUAGGUUGCUCACGCGUUACGCACCCGUGCGCCACUCUCACCGUCUUCGAGCAAGCUCUCCGACGGAUCCCGUCCGACUUGCAUGUAUUAGGCCUGCCGCUAGCGUUCAUC